rnacentral:tRNA from 1 species
GCGCCCAGAAACCGAUACGGCGGAACCUUCUGAAUCCUUAGUCACAUAGAACAGAGACAAUCUGACUACGGAUCAGAAGGUUAGGGGUUCGAAUCCCUUCGGGCGCGCCA